UUCGAGGCGGCCCUGUGCGAUCUCGGCUUGGUAGGGGGUGUACUGGGUGUACCAGCCGGGAUUCUCCAUGAUGUUGCGGAGGAUGACGGCGGGAACGAAGGUGUUGUAAUAGCCCAUGCCGAUGAAGGAUUUGAAGAGGCGGUUCUUGGAGGCGAGGCCGGCCAUGUGGGCGAGCAUUUGGGAUUCGGUGAGGCCGGCGUCGAAUUUCGGAAGGGUGAGGGAGGGGGCGCGGAUGGAUUUGGGGACUGUGGCGUCGAUGAGGGAUUCGAGGGAGGUGUGGCCGCAGGCGGCGGCCAUUGUGGACUGGUCGUCGGGUGUGGCGGAGUUGUGGCGGCGG
rnacentral:misc_RNA from 1 species